CCCUUAGAUGUUCUGGGCCGCACGCGCGCUACACUGAUGCAUUCAACGAGUUUCUUCCUGGUCCGAGAGGAAUGGGUAACCUUUUGAAAGUGCAUCGUGAUAGGGAUAGACUAUUGCAAUUAUUGGUCUUCAACGAGGAAUUCCUAGUAGACGUAGUUCAUCAGACUGCAUCGAUUACGUCCCUGCCCUUUCUACACACCGCCCGUCGCUCCUACCGAUUGAAUGCUCAGGUGAGCCAUUCGGACUUUCAUCAUGCUGGUUUCCAGUUUUGAUGAAGGAAAGUCUUGCGAACCUUAUCAUUUAGAGGAAGGAGAAGUCGUAACA
rnacentral:rRNA from 1 species